rnacentral:rRNA from 3 species
GUGACCCCAGGUCAGGUGGGACUACCCGCUGAGUU